GGAAUGUAGCUCAGUGGUGGAGUGAGUGCUUAGCAUGUACAAGGUCCUAUGUUCAAUCCCUAGCACCA
rnacentral:tRNA from 1 species